CGCGUAGGUGGUUUGUUAAGUUGGAUGUGAAAUCCCCGGGCUCAACCUGGGAACUGCAUUCAAAACUGACAAGCUAGAGUAUGGUAGAGGGUGGUGGAAUUUCCUGUGUAGCGGUGAAAUGCGUAGAUAUAUGAAGGAACACCAGUGGCGAAGGCGGCCCCCUGGACUGAUACUGACACUGAGGUGCGAAAGCGUGGGGAGCAAACAGGAUUAGAUACCCUCGUA
rnacentral:rRNA from 1 species